AUUGAACGCUGGCGGCAGGCUUAACACAUGCAAGUCGAACGAGUGGCGGACGGGUGAGUAAUGCAUGGGAACCUACCUUAUGGAGGGGGAUAACUACGGGAAACUGUAGCUAAUACCGCGUACCAUAGGAUGAGCCCCAAUGGGAUUAGGUAGUUGGUGGGGUAAAGGCGAACAAAGGCGACGAUCCAUAGCGGGUCUGAGAGGAUGAUCAGCAACACUGGGACUGAGACACGGCCCAGACUCCUACGGGAGGCAGCAGUGGGGAAUAUUGGACAAUGGGGGAAAGCUGACGCAGCCAGGCCGCGGGGAUGAAGAAGGCCUUCGGGUUGUAAAGUACUUUCGGUAGCGAGGCGUUAACUACAGAAUAAGCACCGGCUAACUACGUGCCAGCAGCCGCGGUAAUAC
rnacentral:rRNA from 1 species